rnacentral:rRNA from 1 species
CCUACGGGAGGCAGCAGUAGGGAAUCUUCCACAAUGGACGCAAGUCUGAUGGAGCAACGCCGCGUGAGGGAUGAAGGGCUUCGGCUCGUAAAGCUCUGUUGGUAGGGAGGAAAGAUAGGGGUAGUAACUCGCAUUUAUUUGACGGUAAUUACUUAGAAAGUCACGGCUAACUACGUGCCAGCAGCCGCGGUAAUACGUAGGGGGCAAGCGUUGUCCGGAUUUAUUGGGCGUAAAGCGAGUGCAGGCGGUACAAUAAGUCUGAUGUGAAAGCCCUCGGCUCAACCGGAGAAUUGCAUCAGAAACUGUUGAACUUGAGUGCAGAAGAGGAGAGUGGAACUCGAGGUGUAGCGGUGGAAUGCGUAGAUAUAUGGAAGAACACCAGUGGCGAAGGCGGCUCUCCGGUCCGCAACUGACGCUGAGGCUCGAAAGCAUGGGUAGCGAACAGGAUUAGAUACCCUUGUAGUC